rnacentral:rRNA from 1 species
CCUACGGGUGGCAGCAGUGGGGAAUAUUGCACAAUGGGGGAAACCCUGAUGCAGCGACGCCGCGUGAGUGAAGAAGUAAUUCGUUCCGUAAAGCUCUAUCAGCAGGGAAGAAAAUUACGGUACCUGAGUAAGAAGCCCCGGCUAACUACGUGCCCGCCGCCGCGGUAAUACGUAGGGGGCAAGAGUUAACCGGAUUUGCGGGGUGUAAAGGGAGCGUAGACGGUGCGACAGGUCUUGGGUGAAAUGCCGCAGCUAACCGGGGGAACUGCUUUGGAAACUGGCGAACUAGAGUGCGGGAGCGGUAAGCGGAAUGCCUAGUGUAGCGGUGAAAUGCGUAGAUAUUAGGAGGAACACCGGUUGCGAAGGCGGCUUACUGGACCGUGAUUGACGUUGAGGCUCGAAAGCGUGGGGAGCAAACAGGAUUAGAUACCCUUGUAGUC